rnacentral:tRNA from 1 species
GCAUCGGUGGUUCAGUGGUAGAAUUCUCGCCUGCCACGCGGGCGGCCCGGAUUCGAUUCCCGGCCGAUGCA